AAUAUUUUAUAUAUUAUAUAUUUUAAAAUAUUUUUAUAAAGUUAAUCAAUUGACCACACUUAAUAGCAUGUAGCUCUGCCCUUAUAUUAGCCCUCUCAAAAAAAUAUUUUUUAGCUUCGCCACUGAACGUUAUAGUAUUGUUUCAUACUCCCUUGAAAAUUCUUUUCGAUUAAUGGUAACAUGACCAACUUUUUUUUUUUACUUGACUUGAACCACAGGUGCUUAUCGUUUCAAGAGAAAGUCAUAUUGAAUAAAUCUCCAC
rnacentral:misc_RNA from 1 species